CUCGAGGGGACUGUCUUUUCCUCUCUAGACGCCAUUGAUCCAUAUCAUAAAUCUCUCCGGCCUCGGAAGUGCUCUUUUGCAAGUCUAUCUGGUUGGUUUUUCUAGACCGGGGUCGGACCGGACGUUCGACCGGCCGAGUCGGGAGCGGUUUCCAGUUCUGACCGGUUCUCUCCUCUCGCCGGUCCGGGGACCGAAAAAUUCCCAGUUCCCCCCUCGCGACUCUCCUUCUCGCCCUCGCUCCUGCUCAAACCCUAAUUUUCAUUGUAAUCUCGCUCAAAAUUCUUCUUCUCAACUCCAAUUCCCUUCGCAUCUGAGUUCGAUUUUCCUUAUUUCGUGAUCCCGAAGUUCGAUUGUUCGGAUUGCCGGUGUUUCUCCACAAAUUUUGCGAUAAUCGCACGUAAAUCGGCUCUUCUUGGGAAUGUUCCAUGGCGAACGACUGUAGGCGGAUUCGAUGAGUACUUAGAAAUGACUGGUUCGGGUUCGGUAUCGAGACUCGUCGAUUCUUUCCUUGAGGUGUUCUUCCGGGUUCGUGGGGCUUAGGAGUGUGGCUGAAGCGAAUUCGGGGUUUUUCAUUGGCGAAAUUUCUUGGUUUGAAGCAACGGGGAUGGAUCAUGAUAUGCCUGAUAGCAGCAGCGGUACAGAUGACGGCCUCCCUCCUCCGCAACGGAGCAGAUAUCAGAGAGGACAGGCUGCUGGAAAUGGAAGAUCUGCAGUUUUAGGAACUGCACCGUUACUCAAGAUACACAACAACGUGGAAAAUCAGAUCUACCAUAUUGAGCAAGAAGCUUAUUGUUCAAUACUUCGAGCCUUUAAGGCUCAAUCUGACGCCAUUACUUGGGAUAAGGAGAGUUUGAUUACCGAACUUAGGAAAGAGCUGAGAGUGUCAGAUGAGCAACAUAGAGAGCUUCUUUCCAAGGUCAAUUCGGAAGACAUUCUUCAGCGGAUAAGAGAGUGGAGAAAGGCAAAUGGUUUUCAACCAGGCAGGCCUGGAACUUCUAGGCACAUCCAAGACCCUGCACCUAGUCGCAAUCUUUUGGCAUCUGAAAAGAAAAUGAAGACCCCACAGUCUGUUGCUUCUUUGUCUGCAUUUACACCAUCUCCAGCAAUACCGUCAUUACAACCAUCUCCAUCAACAUUUAGACAAGGGCCUCAUCCUGGAGGCAGGAGUAAGAAGCCAAAAUCAAACUCUACGGCAGGUGCUGGUGGAAGGCCUCAAGGUGCCAUUCGUGGUUUCUCUGGGGCCUUUCGAGCAAACUCUGAUUCACUGAUAGGCAAGAAAGUUUGGACUAGAUGGCCUGAUGAUAACAACUUCUAUGAGGCUGUCAUAACAGAUUAUAAUUCAGCUGAGGGGCACCAUGCAUUGGUCUACGAUAUUGAGACAGCAAAUGAAACAUGGGAAUGGGUUGACCUCAGAGAGAUACCUCCCUCAGACAUCCGGUGGGAAGGCCAUGACCAUGGAAUUUCUAAUAGAGGGGGCCAUCCUGGUGUCAGCCGGGGAGUCAAGAAGUCCACUCCGAAAGGUGGUGCUAUUACUGGACCUGGAAAAGGUAAAGGGACGACGAAGGGACAGACUCAAAGAAUCUCCCUUCAAUGCAGAGUGGCGUAGGCCGGAAGGAUUUGGGCGACAUUGAAUUGCUCAACACAGAUUCUCUAGUCAAGGAGGUGGAGAAAGUGUUAAGUGCGAGCCCGCCCGACGUGGCAGAGAUUGCAGAAGCGAAGAGGGCUCUUAAGGAGCAGGAGCAGGCCCUGCUUGGUGCGAUCUCCAUGCUUCAAGAUGCAUCCGAUGGUGAAAGUGAUGAAAAGGGAUUGUAGCCUUCCAAAAAGGCAAUCGAGGGGAGGGGCAGUUUGAGACUUUGAGCAGACCAAGUUCUGGAUCUGAUGGAGAGAACCGGAGAGACGGUGGUUUUCUCAACAUCACAUAUUUCGAUGAGAGUGCAAUUGCAUUUCAAGUCCCGGCCAGUUCUAACUAUGUCUGAGCCUGUAACCUUUACUAGAGUUAGGAUUGACUACUGACCUGUCAUUGUAAUUGAAUCUCAAACCGAUUCCUAACUCAGUUACUAUGUACAGCUUCUUUGAUAAUCAAA